UACAGAGGUCUCAAGCGUUGUUCGGAUUCAUUGGCGUAAAGGGUGCGUAGGCGGCGCGGUAAGUCGGUGUGAAAUCUCGGAGCUUAACUCCGAACUGCAUUCGAUACUGCCGUGCUUGAGGACUGGAGAGGAGACUGGAAUUUACGGUGUAGCGGUGAAAUGCGUAGAUAUCGUAAGGAAGACCAGUGGCGAAGGCGGGUCUCUGGACAGUUCCUGACGCUGAGGCACGAAGGUCAGGGAGCAAACGGG
rnacentral:rRNA from 1 species